UGUUUCUGUACCUGCAGAAAUGUGCAAUAUGGCGGAUGGCGGAGUGAACUAUUUAGCAGUCAAAUGGCCUAGUGUUGUCUUAGGUCCUUGUUUAGAGUGUAUAUGUGAGAUAAUUGUUUGAAAUUGAAUUUUCUGUGUUGUGCCGAAUUGCUACCGAUCAUAGUUUGUUUCGUUUGACUAGUUAAGCUUAAGACGAGAUCGGCGGGAAACCAUAUACGCAGCGUAAUUUGUUUAUACGUUGCUUAGGGAGGACAAAAUGUGAAACUCGAACUUCGAGUGCACAAGAAAAAUGGUAAUCAUAGAAGUUUUGAGGAAAACUUACAAAUAUAAAUGAACAGCGAAGAAUACGAAAUGCAGGCGUUCCGGUCAAGUGCUGCGAAAAUGGAACCAUUGUGCUUACCUCCACCGCCGCCACCACCCCCUCUUCCUCGGCCUUCUUUCAUGCCACCACCUCCACCUCCUCUCUCGCAGGCUCCAAAAAGGUAUGAACCCGCAGGAAGCAGCCCAGUUGUUCGGCCAGUACAGAACCGCUUUUUAAAGCCGCCAGAUCAGCGCCCCUUCCAGCGCCCGCCGCAUUUACCAUUUUUACUUCCACCUCCUCCCCCCAAAUUUCGUAACCAGGCACAACGACUACAUGCAUCGCCAGCUGCGCAGUACAGGGCAGUGUCACAGAGCACUUCAUUGCAACGAAGAAAUCUGGAAGUCAAUGAUAACUCUACAUCUGCCACCAUACCGCCUGCGGAAGAAGAGCCUUCUCAAUUAAAAACACCCACUGUGAAAGAAGAGACAGGGCCCACUGAGUCUGUUGUACGAGAGGACAUGGAAGAGAAGUCCUGUACUUCAGAGGACGUCAACAUGUCUAAUAAAACACACAGAAAAAGGCCGUCUGAAAAAGAGUUGGAUAGCUCAUCUGGAUUACCCAAAGAAUUAACCCAGAAAUUUGGUCCUCUCACCUGUGAACUGUGUUCAGUUUCUGUAAAUUCAACUGUACAAGCAAAGAUGCAUUACUCAGGGAGGCAGCAUGAAAAGAAAGUUCAUAGUUUCUUAUUGAACUGGUCAAAGGAGACUGGAGAGCCAUUGCCAAAACAGUUUAAAGAUGGCCCACCAAAGAAAAGCGUUCCAGAUGUUUCUUUCUGUGAAGUAUGUAAUGUUGCCCUUACGUCAACUGCACAUGCGGAGCAGCACUACAUGGGACGCAAUCAUCGAAGAGCACUUGCAGGCCAUGCUGCAGCGAAAGCAAAGGUAGAACAGUGUGCAGUUCCUGCUAAUAAUCAGAUGGGAAGAUAUGGGAUUGGUACACAGUUUCAGCCAUGGUCAAAUGCAGAUCCACUAGCACUUAAAGCACCUGAACCAGAUUUACCAAUUCAGAAAACCAAGAAGUUUUUCUGUGAACUUUGUAAAGUGGCUGCCACUUCACAAGACCAGUUGGAUAUGCACUUACGGGGUGCGAAACACAGAAAAGCAGAAACUGCAAAUAAACAGAGAUCAACUGUGACAAGUACAACUCCACAGGCUACUCAGUCAGAUUCAAUUCUUGCAAGUGUGAUACAGAAUGAAGAUGGCACACAGAGUUCGGUGGGAAAAGACUAUUCUAUUUAUAGAACACCAUCUGGUUAUUAUUAUUGCCAGCCAUGUAAUUUAACAUUAAACUCUGAAGCGCAGUUCAUUCAGCAUUGUGAAAGUAAGAAACACAAGGUUAAAACAGCAACAGCAAAAAAGCCUGUCGGCAGCCCUUUAAAAGCUGGCAAUGUUGUUGCCUAAUGUAGUGUUACAUAUGGUUAUACAUGUUAUUUUUUGUUUUUCUCCAUGUGUUAUUCAGAAGUAGGUUCAGAUUUUGCACUUUUAAAAGUCUCGAGUUUUUGACACAGUUCAAAACAAAAUGAAAUAAACAGAUUUUCUUCCAAACAAGAUAGUAAGAAAGAUAUAAGGUAACAGAAUUAUUACUACAGUGUGUUAUACCACUUGCAUCCAGUUGAGACAGGUGUGGAAAACAUUUCUGUAUACAGUAGUACUCAUUUUAUAUUUAUUACAGGUUAUGAAACGUAACAGUUUCUUGAUACAUGAAAAUGCUGAGCUUUACCUUGAAGUGCGCAGACUGCGUCAGAAACUUGAGGGAAAUGAUAUUGUGACAAGGCAGCUCAGUCGUGAAGUUGGAUUAGUUGAAUUUGCCCAAGAUGCUGCAGAGACUGGCCCGUGAUAAAUUGUUGUCUGUCUAUAUACAUUAUGGGGCAACGGCCUUGCCACAGUGGAUCCACCAGUUCCCGUGCGAUCACCGAAGUUAAGCGCUGUCGGCCGUGGUCGGCACUUGGAUGUGUGACCAUCCAGGUCACCAUGCGCUGUUGCCAUUUUUUGGGGUGCACUCAGCCUCAUGAUGCCAGUUGAGGAGCUACUCGGCCGAAUAGUAGCGGCUUCGGUCAAGAAUACCAUCUUACGACAGGGAGAGCGGUGUGCUGACCCCACACCCCUCCUAUCCGCAUUCUCCACCAAGGAUGACACGGCGAUCGGAUGGUCUCGGUAGGCCACUCGUGGCCUGAAGGCGGAGUGCUAUACACGUUAUGUCUGCAUUCACUACCACUUAAAAACUUUGGAAGUAAUUCACAACAUGAGUAGAUUCACACUAGUGGUAAUUUUUGUUACUGUAUUUCACAUAAGUAGUGUAACUUGAAUUGUUUCUCAUUUAUGAACAUUCUGAUUCAUGAGGGAGUUUACCGAACAUGAUGCGUCAGUGAAUGAAUCUUGCAGUUCAGUCUCGCUUCCUCAGCUGCUGCUAUUUCUGUGAACUGGCAUAUGUAGGUGUACAGUAAACUAUUAACCCAAACAAAUAGAUAAACCAUCAAUACUGUUAUUACAAGUGGGCACAGAGAAUUUUGAACACAAAAAGCUAGUUGUAGAACAUCGGAUAAGAGUCAGUGUCCACAAUAAAUUAUGAAUGAAUGGAAAUGUCUGAAACACCACAUAUCUGUACAAAAGAAAACAUAGUAAUCUCUUUUUACAAGAUCGAAUUCUACAAAGUGGAAUUUAUAAGGAAAAAAUCCAUCCUGUAGUAUCUGUAGCACAGUAUUAUGUUACUGAAUUAAAAUCUGAUAGUACUGUGUUUUUCCAAGAAUUGGCUGUAAAUACCUAUAUGUACUCAGAAACUCCUCAUUGCAGUUAAAUGAAGAAGAAACUGAUGUAAUUAAGUAGGUCACUUCCCUAUGUUGUUUUGCAUAAUUGUUACAACUUAAUUAAUUUGAAAUUUCCAAAUUAAUGGACUAACAAUAGUAGUGUUAUGAAUUGUUGGUCAAGAUCAGUUUGUGUAGUGCCACCCAGCUCUCUUCUCCAGAUUUUUGUUACAGGUUGUACUUAAAUUUUAGCUUUAUAGUUGAUACUGAAAAUUGAAAAGUGUGUAUCACAUGUUAAUUUCCUAUACAUGUAGAGCCUAAGUGAAAUGCUGCACUAUACAGGCAGUAACUGGGAUGACACCUGUAACUACUCAAACACUGCAUGAGACAUUUUGAAGAGCGUAUAAAUGCAAGAACAACUUUUUGAUGGGUGAUGUCGUACUUUGCAAAGAUAUGAAAUCUCUUUCCAGGUAUCACAGACAUCAGUAUUGACAAAAAUGGAGAACACAAUUUCAGACCUGUCAAACAAGCACAAGCUGGUUUCAUUAAAUAGAGAUCAAAUAGUCCUCAAAUGAUUGUGAGUGCAAUAAGCUGAAAUGCACUGUGACUCAAGUAAUCAACCUCCACAGUGUGUGUUUAUUUCAAAGGUUUAUACAUGUGACUGCCUGCAGUGUCAGCUAAACAGUGUCUUUGGAAAUCAAAACUUUGGUAGAUUGACUAACCUGUGGCUUUGAGAUAGAUUAUACUGUGACUAUUGUCAGCAAAUAAACUUCUGCAGUUUGUUGGCUUUCUGUCUCUGUGGUUCAGGAAAACCUGCAGUUUAUGAGGUGACAAAAGAGUAUUUUAGAUUUCACUAAGUUAAAAAGCCUAAGAAGUCUACAUCAAUUGCCAGUUUGUUUUGUAUUACUACUUUUGAUUAAACUGUACGUAGUAUAAAUGUGAACAAAGCUAUGUUUUACACUGGUAAUUAUCACUUUCAAUUUAGGCAACUGAAGUGCCAUGGUAUUAAAACUCAGUUGAAUACUGAAGCUAUUUUACUGGUAUUAAAAUAGUACCGAUUUAGGCUGCAUAUGGUGUUGAUAUCUCCACAUGUGAAUAUGAGCAUAUUUUAUAAGAAAUCUGUCAUCGUGCUGAGGUUUAGAGGCCUUCUUUUUACAGUAACAAAUAUAAAAAUUGUCUCUUCUUUCUGGAGUGAGUAAGGUUAUCACUAAAUGACUUCAUGUGCACUGUUAUAACUUAAUAGCAUAAGCGAUCUAUGUGUAAGCAACUGUUUUCCAUGUGGUGAAUGUUAGAGUAACAACGAAAUUGUCAUUGGGCUUAAAAUAUACCUAGGAAGUAGUGUUUUGCACAAGUUUUGAAGAUGAUUUUUUUUUUUAAGAACCUGAAUUUUCAAAAAGACUGGUGUUAUAUGGUUCAGUAUUAUUGUUUUUUCCUCCUCAGUUAUAUUCAGUGACUAUACUAACACAGAAAGAUGUACAUUGAAGUACUUGUUAGAUUCAAAUAUUGCGUGCAUUUAUUUGUAUUGUUGUUCUCUGGAUCCAAUAGGCACUCCAUAAACUGUUACUGUUUGCUUAUGUGACCCUCUGCUGUCACUGCGAAAUAUGUAAUUUAAUGAGAAGCUUUGUCAUAUGAUGAAAAUUGUACUGUCAUCUGGAAAGAAGUCCAAAAUUUCAAAUCCCCAUGUGUGUUGUGAAGAAAAGCAGUACCUCUUGACUGUCUGCUUGGUAGUUGCCAAUCAGAUUGUUUAUUUCAAGAAUGCAAAAACCCAUUAAAUAAAGCCUUGAAUGCUCAUUCAAGAACAAUGAAAUACACAUGAAGUAAGCUGUAACACAUGAGAAUCACAGUGCUAAAAAGCAUUCUGUAAUAACAUGUAUGCAAUAUUUUUUUCUGAAUUUAACUACAUUGUAUGUUUCUCCUGUAUUGCUACAUAUUUUUUGUCUCGUCUUUCAUUCGGCUGUUCAUAUUAUUCCUGUCAUAUUGUUUCCACAUUAUUGUGUCAACUUGGCGAAUGUAGUUAAGUAGUACUGCAGCAAUAAAACACUGAACUCCAAAUUA